rnacentral:rRNA from 1 species
GACAGAGGUCCCGAGCGUUAGGCGGAAUCACUGGGCUUAAAGCGUGUGUAGGCGGAUCGUUAAGUGCCUUGUGAAAUCCCAUGGCUUAACCAUGGAACUGCUUGGCAUACUGGCGGUCUUGAGCCACUUAGGGGCAACCGGAACAAAUGGUGGAGCGGUGAAAAUGCGUAGAUAUCAGGAGGAACACCGGUGGCGAAGGCGGCUCUCUGGACCACAACUGACGCUGAGGCGCGAAAGCUAGGGGAGCAAACAGG